rnacentral:rRNA from 1 species
UACGUAGGGGGCAAGCGUUGUCCGGAAUUAUUGGGCGUAAAGAGCGUGUAAGCGGUCCGGUAAGUCAGCUGUGAAAGUCAAGGGCUCAACCCUUGAAAGCCGGUUGAUACUGUCGGGCUAGAGUCCGGGAGAGGCGAGUGGAAUUCCCGGUGUAGCGGUGAAAUGCGCAGAUAUCGGGAGGAACACCUGAGGCGAAGGCGGGCUACUGGGCCGAUACUGACGCUGAUGCGCGAAAGCCAGGGGAGCGAACGGG